CCACAGUCGCUGCCCCGCUAGGGUGGCGGCAGCGUCAUCGACCAGGAACCCGGUGUGAGUCCGGGACGGUCCCGCCACUGUGAGCGCGCCACGCGUGGCCGCGUGAGUCAGGAACUGCCGGCGGCGUGUCACAUCCG
rfam:Intrasporangium chromatireducens Q5-1 contig33, whole genome shotgun sequence.